UUUAAUAAGUCUAUGGUCUAAGUUCAACGCUAACGUUGUGAUGCUAUAGAAACUGUUUGACUAGAGUUGGAUAGAGGCAAGUGGAAUUCCAGUGUAGCGGUAAAAUGCGUAAAGAUAUGGAGGAACACCAGUAGCGAAGGCGGCUUGCUGGGUCUUAACUGACGCUGAGGCACGAAAGCGUGGGGAGCAAACAGGAUUAGAUACCCUUAGUCCACGCCGUAAACGAUGAGUACUAAGUGUUGGGUUAACAGUGCUGAAGUUAACGCAUUAAGUACUCCGCCUGAGUAGUACGUACGCAAGUAUGAAACUUAAAGGAAUUGACGGGACUCCGCACAAGCGGUGGAUCAGUUGUUUAAUUCGAAGAUACACGAAAAACCUUACCAGGUCUUGACAUACGCAAAGCUAGAAAUAUAGUGGAGGUUAUCAGGGAUACAGGUUGCAUGGUUGUCGU
rnacentral:rRNA from 1 species